rnacentral:rRNA from 1 species
UGGGGAAUUUUGGACAAUGGGCGAAAGCCUGAUCCAGCAAUGCCGCGUGUGUGAAGAGGGCCUUCGGGUUGUAAAGCACUUUUGUCCGGAAAGAAAUCCUUGGCUCUAAUACAGUCGGGGGAUGACGGUACCGGAAGAAUAAGCACCGGCUAACUACGUGCCAGCAGCCGCGGUAAUACGUAGGGUGCAAGCGUUAAUCGGAAUUACUGGGCGUAAAGCGUGCGCAGGCGGUUUGCUAAGACCGAUGUGAAAUCCCCGGGCUCAACCUGGGAACUGCAUUGGUGACUGGCAGGCUAGAGUAUGGCAGAGGGGGGUAGAAUUCCACGUGUAGCAGUGAAAUGCGUAGAGAUGUGGAGGAAUACCGAUGGCAAAAGGCAGCCCCCUGGGCCAAUACUGACGCUCAUGCACGAAAGCGUGGGGAGCAAAACAGGAUUAGAUACCCUGGUAGUCCACGCCCUAAACGAUGUCAACUAGUUGUUGGGGAUUCAUUUCCUUAGUAACGUAGCUAACGCGUGAAGUUGACCGCCUGGGGAGUACGGUCGCAAGAUU